UUGUCGUUUAUGGAUUCUUCAUGAAAUUCGGGUUUGUUGGCUUGGAUGGACCAAGUGUCGGUUUCACUGGAAAAACUCUGAUGGUGUCUGAUGAAUGGCACAGAGGAUUGGCCAUAGAUGUGCCUUGCUGCUUUUCAAAAAGGCAUUGGAGUCUGAAAGCCCCACACCUUCCACUACCUAAUUAAAGCUGAGGCAGUUGUGGCCUGAAUUUUUUUUGUGUGUGUGUGUUUUGUGUGUGUGUGUGUUUGUUUCUGGCUGUUGACCGGGGGUGGUCACUGAUUGCCAUGAUAACAAUAGCUGGUAAGUAAACAUCAACUAAAUUGUCUGGAAAAAAACCUUUACUUAAACAUAGAAGCAUACAUUUUGUAGGAGUGUUAAUUGAUUCAUCGUGAUGCGGACGUGGAUGAUUCUGCAUCAAUGCAGUAAUAGACCAUAAUCAAUUAUUGCCUACGACAGCGCUUCCACUCGCUGUUAUUUUAGUCUAUUUUAGUCUGUUAUUUUACUUUAGAUAUGCCUUCAUUUCUGCUGUUUAGAAUGCAGUACGUAUUCGAUGCACAAAACUCACGCACUGACAGACAUUCACAUGUGCUUUGUGUUUGUUUGUCCUGAAGCUCGCGGCUGUAGUUAAAUGCACUUGCAUCUACUUUUAUGAUACAAAAUUAAUGUAAACGGUCAGUUAUGUUUUCAGAACAGGACAAAGCAUCUGAUAUGUGGAAAUGGAUCUGUGCAUUAGUGUGAAUGCAGGCAAUAAUGCUGAUUAAAAAGAAAAGCCCAUAACUAUGAUUAUCUGUAAACUUUCAAUACUUAAAGCACUCCCAGAUACUGAAAGUGAUUUUUGUUUAUCACUUGUAGUUGUCUU